CAAAUCAAUUAACGGAAAGUGAAGAAAAAUUCGUGGUUCAAUGCAGGGAAUGGUUUGUAAAUGCCGAUUGAGACGAUGAUUUCGGAUAAUUUCUUCACAUGCAUACGCUAAUUGUUCGAGAGAAAUUGUAGGUUUAUUAGAUUCGAGAUGGUGGAGAUGGAUGGUAAAGAGAACGCGGGUGGUAAUGGCGGUUAUAAGAAAAGGAACAACAACAACAGGUGGAGGCGGUGGGGAGUUGUUGGAGCUGUGAUCGCAGUUUUAGUUGCCGUAUAUCUCAAUCCUUUGUGGCAUUCGCACACAAUUUCCUUCCUCCAUAAACCCUACCUCUGUUCUGAGGAUACAUGUAAAUAUACAGGCAUUGUUGAGGACUGUUGUUGCGACUACGAAAGCAUUGACGAUGUUAAUGGAGCAGUUUUACAUAUCUUGUUGCAAGAGCUUGUUGCAACUCCUUUCUUCCGAUAUUUCAAGGUUAAGUUAUGGUGCGAUUGCCCCUUCUGGCCUGAUGAUGGUAUGUGCCGCCUUCGUGAUUGCAGUGUAUGUGAGUGUCCAGACCAUGAAUUCCCUGAAUCCUUUAAGAAGCCUUCUCUGCAUAUUCUUCCGAAAGAUGACCCUGUAUGUCAAGAGGGAAAGCCGGAGGCUACUGUUGAUCGUACUCUAGAUGCUAAGUCGUUUAGAGGCUGGGUAGAAAUAGAUAAUCCAUGGACUCAUGAUGAUGAAACUGACAAUGGUGAAAUGACAUAUGUAAAUCUGCAACUGAACCCCGAACGUCAUACGGGUUACACAGGGCCAUCAGCAAGAAGAAUAUGGGAUGCUAUAUACUCAGAAAACUGCCCAAGAUAUGCAUUUGGAGAGGUGUGCCCAGAGAAGAAAGUACUGUACAAGUUAAUAUCUGGUAUGCAUUCCUCAAUUUCAGUCCACAUAGCUGCUGAUUAUCUCCUUGACGAGACUGCCAAUCAGUGGGGUCCAAAUCUUGAAUUGAUGCAUGAUCGUGUCGUGAAACAUCCUGAUCGUGUGCAAAACUUGUACUUCACUUUUCUAUUCAUUCUUAGAGCCGUGACAAAAGCAGCUACUUAUUUGGAUCAGGCUGAGUAUGAUUCCGGUAACCAUGCAGAGGAUCUGAAAGCCCAAUCCUUGAUACGAAAACUGGUUCACAAUCCCAAAUUGCAAGCUGCAUGCGCUCUUCCAUUUGAUGAAGCUGAAAUGUGGCAAGGCCAAGGUGGACCCAUACUUAGACAACAGAUCCAAAAUCAAUUUCGGAACAUAAGGGUGCGAGAAGUGUCGUCUUUGGGGAAAACUUCAGGUUCUCGGCCUUGGAACCGCAUUAAAAAUUCUCUUCUCUGUUAAUGAUCGGGGAAACCCAGACCCACAUCUGCAGUUACAAAGAAAUGAAGUGAUAGCCUUGAUUAAUCUACUAAAUCGGCUAUCGGAAUCUCUUAUAUAUGUCAAUAAAAUGGGGUCUUCAGUGCCUUCUGCUAAAGAGAUGAGUUCGAUUCACAGACAAUGGGGAUCACUGAUAGCUCAUUGGUGGAAGAUGCUGUUGAAAUCUAACUGACAAUCGUUAAAUCACGUGAAGAAAUGCGCCUAAACCGAUCGAUAGAACAAAAUAUCAUUCAGCAAAUGUAAUGUGGAUAGGUGUUUGAUCCUCUUUUGCAGCCGCACUCGUUCUAUUGAAACUAAGGGUGCGUUUGGUUUGCAGGAAUGUUUUUGAGGGAUUUGGAUUCCCAGGAG